UUUUUAUUUUUAACGAAUGAUUUGUAUUAAGUGCUUGUAAACCUUAUUCUUUUUUUCUUUUUUUCUUUUUUAGACAGUGUCUCACUCUGUCCCCAAGGCCAGAGUGCAGUGGCACCAUUAAGGCUCACUGCAGCCUCGAACUCCUGGGCUCAACUGAACCUCCUCCCACCUCAGCCUCUCAAGUAGUUGGGACUACAGGCACAGACCACCACAACCAUCUAUAUUUUAUUUUUGUUUCCUUUUUUUGGAGAGAGGGGUUCUCCCUGUCUUUCCAGGGCUGGUCUGGAACUCCUGGGCUCAAGGGAUCCUCCCACCUCAGCCUCUCAAAGUUUGGGGAUUACAGGUCUGAGACACUAUGCCCAGCCAAUCUGAUUCUUUAAGCAAGAGGCAUUUCAUCUUCACCUGAUGAAAACAAAUGCCUAAGGAAAUAGUUCAAGUAUGCACAUGUAGAUUUGUUCAUUUUCCUGAUCACUCAUCAAAACUUCUGCAAAGAAACCAUGCAAUGUUUUUAUUAAUGUGUAUCUUGUCCUAAUGCCAAAAUAUUAAGUACUAUUGGCUCAUUUUUUAAGCAUACAAUAUUUGAAAUUCCUUUCUUAUAUAAUCUGGAUAACUGUUCCAAUCCUAGAGACUGAAAACAUACAUUGCUACAACACAGGUACAAUUUGUGAGAGAAAGGUAAAAAAAUAAAAUAAAAUAAAAUAAAAUAAGUAGUUCAUGUUUUAAAAGCAAAGACUAUUGAUGUUCUGGGGAUAGAAAACAAUUUAUUUCCCAAAAUCUUAUGAUAUAGAUUAUUCUCCUAAGGAAAAUAAAGGACUAGGCAAAACAAAAAUCUAUAUGUAAGUAACCGGAAUGAAAAUGAUUUGAUUAAAAUGGAGAAUAUAAUUUGAAAAAAACAAAAGCAAUUCAUUAUUUUAUAAAGAAUAAUAACUACAGGUAUAUAUAAAUACUUCUUUCUAUUUCAGUGAAUUUUGUUCAUCUCCAUUUUCUUAGUUUUACAACCUUGAAAUUUGCUUCAAGAAGCCUGAACUACAUAUGUUCAAGGGUAUGAAUAUGUGUUGUUCAUGAAAUAGAAAUCUGUCCCUAUGGAACUGAGGAUGCAGACCUGGAGAAGUAGGAAAUAAUUCUAUUUUGGUAAGGCAUUAAAUGGCAGCUUACAGAGACAUUAUUUUUUUUGAAGAGGAGUGACAGGAUGAAGUUUCCACUUAAGGAAGAUUAAUCAGGCAUUGUAGAAAAUGAAUUCAAUACAUCUCUUGGCAGGGCAAGCAAGCUAAAGGGGGAAUUUGGGAAAGGAGGUUUCAACCUAAAGAAUUAAAAACAAAUUAGGUUUCAGCGUAAAGAAUAUGAAGUAUUAGUUAAUAAAACAAAAGGUGAAAUAAGUAACUGAAGCUUAAGAGAGAAAAGGUCUGAUGGAUGUUAUAAAUUUCAUAGUUAUAUGUCAGGGAGGCUUAAGUCAUGAGAAUUGCAGAACUUUCUUAUGAAUACUUAUUAGAAGGACAUAUUCAAACCAAUGCUGAUCAGGGUUACAAACAUAAGGACUCUAGUUUGAGAUCUAUUACACAGCAUAGUGACUAUAGUUAAUAAUACUGUAUUGUAUAUUUCAAAAUUGCCAAGGGAGUAAAUUUCAAAUGUCUUGCCACAAAAAAAUGAUACGUGAGGUGAUGAAUGUGUUAAUUAGCUUGUUUUUUUAUUCCACAUUUUAUGCAUAUAUCAAAACAUCAAAUUACCUCAUAAGUAUAUACUAUUAUUAUUUGCCAAUUAAAAAUAAAAAUAAGAAAUUUGGUUUGUAAAGUAGAGAAACAGGAACAUUCGUCAGCCUCACAAAUAUGGUCUAAAACCAUUUUAGUGUGUCCUCUAGAAGGAAUGUUGAAACCAUUUACUUCAAGUAAACCUUGAAACCAUGCAGUAUGAGCCCUGAGGCACUUUUAUAAAAGCAAAGUGAUCUUUACUGUCCUGGACUAAAGAAAUAGAUGCAAUGUCAAGAGGGGCUGUGAGGGAGCACUUCACCCACUUCCUCCUGGGGCUUCUAUCUGGACUCCCUCUCCAGACCAGGCUCUGAACCUGACCCAGCCUACGACCUAAAAGAGCAGACAGCCUACCGCAGAUACACCAGAUGCUACAUGUGCAGAGGACAGGCAGUCUCAGUGACUGACCUAUUCAGGAUGGGAAACACGACACUCCCUCUGAUAACAGACCACAGCCCUUGAAGAGCCUGUUAGGAUGAUUCCAUGCUAUCAUAGACAUUAAGUUUCCAUAAGAGAAGCAACUCUUCUAAAACUUUAUUUACUUAUUUGUUUGUUUGUUUAUUUAUUUAGAGACAGAUUCUUGUUCUGUCACCCACGCUGGAAUGCAGUGGCAUGAUCAUAGCUCAUUGCAGCCUUCACCUCCUGAGUUCAAGCAAUCCUCCCACCUCAAUCUCCAAGGAGGCAGGACUACAAGUAUUCAUCUUACUGUUUGGUUAUUUUUUUUUAAAUUUUUUUUUUAUAGAGACAGGGUCUCACUUUGUUGCCCAGGCAGGUCCCAAACUCCUGGCCUCAAGUGAUCCUCCCCCCUCAGUCUCCCACAGUGCUGGAUUACAGGCAUGAGGCACCACACCCAGUAUCCGUCCUAAAAUCUUAAAAACUAAGGACAUUUAGAGUGGCAACUCAGCUAACUCGGCUCUCAACUGACCUUCAGAAACUGGGUUUGCUCCUAAUAGCCUUAGGAAGUAUCCACAGUCUUUCCUCUUCAAGUUCUUCUGACCCAGGGAACUCUUCAUUUGAGUAAACGUUCCCAAACCUCGAUCUACCUCAGAAUCAUGCAAGGAGCUUUCAAUAAUUUGAGACUCUUGAGCCCUUCUCCAAAAUAUUUCUAUCCAAUAGAUCCUGGUGAGCCUGAGCCACUGUUGUUCAGAAGCUCCCCCGGGUGAUUCUGAUACUGCUGAUCCAAAGACUCCCAUGAGGGCAGCACUGUCCAGGAGUCCUCAGGCCUGGCCUAUUGCCUCUGCUGGCCUGAGAACUUAACCCUUUGACUCUAAUUAUUCCUGCCAUGACAUGGUCUCAACCUUCUGCCACCCGUAAGUCCAAAUCCACAUGCACAUUGAACAUAAGCAUUUCUUUCACCAUUUAAGUGGUUUUAAUUAAACCUAGGUUUGUUCUACCUUAAAACAUACUCCAGACUAGCUCUCUUUCUGUAUUAAGUUCCUAGGGUUUCCUUGUAUCACAACCAAGUGGCUUAAAACAAGAGGAGCAACUUAUCUCAUAGUUCUGGAGGCUAGAAAUCCAAAAUCCAGGUGUCAGCUGGGCCUACUCCCUCUGAAGCCUGUAGGGGACUCCCUCCUUGCCUCUCCCUGGCUUCCAUGGGUUUGCCAGCAAUCCCUGGCUCACUCCAAUCCUCAGUCUUCAUGUGGCACCUUGGAAAAAAGGGAAGGUCUACUGUCUCUCUAGCUCAGUAACAUCUUGUCUGUCAUCUUUUCCCCAAAGCGUCCCAAUUGCGUGUUUUCCAUUCUGAUUUUUAUUUUUAUUUUUAAUGAGUGAUUUUUAUCUCUCUGUGUCUUCCCAGUGUCUUUCCUCUGUGCUUUUCUGUCUUUGUGUCAAAUUUCCUGGUUUUAAUGCCAUCAGUCAUAAGAAAUUAAUGGCUUCAUUUUAGCUUAAUAACCUCUAUAAAAACCACAUUUCCAAAUAAAAUCACAUUCUGAGGUAUGGGGAGUUAGGACUUCAAUGUAUCUUUUUAGAGGACGAAAUUCUUCCCAUAACACUCUUCUCAGCAGUUUGCUGUCAGAGUGUUCUGCUAUUUACUCAAUUGUUCAUAAAAACAAAAUGCUCUGUUAACUGAAGGGUCUAUGUCAUUUAUUACAACUAAUCCAUGUUGACUGUAUUAAUGUUAACGCUAAUUUAAAUGACUGCUUAGUACUUUACUAAACAUUUAAUAAAAUUAUUUGUUAAUUAAUUCUUAUUAAAUAAAAUGACUCUCUUGCUGUACCAUGAUUUACAUGCCACGGAAAUCACUGCUUAUGUUGACUUUGCUUCCACAGACCUGGCUUCCUAGGACAGAAUACAAAAGUAUGACAAUUCAUGUAUUUUUAUUAAAAUGAUAGUUUUGCUCUUAACCUCUCAGAAAAAAAAAUCAAAAGAUAUAAUUUGAUAAUAAUUAUUUAUUGGCAUAUAUCCUUUUUAUUACCAAUGAUUCCAGCUCUAUGUUUUUUGUGUUUUGUUUUACUUUUAUCUUGAAAUGUCAGCCCUAUUUUUAAAGUAAGUUGAUUCUUUCCAACCUCUUCUUCUGUAUCCUUUGCUGGCUCCUUGUUCUCUACUCACCUUGUAUUAAGUCCUAUUUUCGGUUCUAGUCUCAACUAUGUACUCUCUCUCCCAAGGUGAUCUCAUCCAGGGCUUUUUAAAUACCAAUAUUGUUCAUGAUUCUUAAUUCUAAAUAUGCAAUCCAGGCUUGCCCUCUAGGUUCCACACUCAUGUACCUGACAGCUACUUGGCCUCAAGUCUCAGAAUCUUAAAGUAUCUAAAACAGAACCCUUAUGUAUCCAAACACAUCUGCUAGACCUACACACACACACACACACACACACACACACACACACACACACACACACGAUACCCAAGCACAACAAUUCAUUUUGUUACUCACGAUGUAACCCUUCAGUAUUUGCCAACGCAGAAUGGUUUCAAUACCAGUCACAGUAUAACUCAAGUCUCAUUAGUAGACAAAAUUUGAAUUUCACUAACCUUUAAGUUUCACUAACUUUAAGUUUCAUAGCAUGAACCACGGUAUUGAAAUAAAGAAAGAGAAUGGAAACAAAAUGAUUAAUAAUUAUAGUGCAGAGGAGAAGAAAAGAACUAUUAAAACCAUGUCAAAGCCAAAGUAUCAGUAUAAAUACAUAGUAAAAGAAAUAUAUUUCAGCAUUCGCUGUCCAAUAUCUACGACAGGUGAGCUGCACCUUUCAUAGAGCUUAGUUAAAAACAUGUUACCACAGCUACACCACCCCCCUACAGACACCUCUUAACACAUUUAUCUCAGCAUUCUAGUGUCAUAGGUGCUUUGCUCACAGAUGGUUUGAAUGUGGUAUGGAAAGGAAGUUAACUAAACUUCGUUUCCACUGUGAGAAAAAAUGCUGAUUUUCUUUGAGAGAAUGUUCUCUAUUUAUUUAUUUAUUUACUUAUGUAUUUCUUUCUUUUUAGAUAGAGAGUGUCACUCUGUCUCCCAUGUUGGAGUGAGUGGUGGCAUCAUAGUACACUGCAGUCUUGAUCUCCUGGGCUCAAGCAAUCCUCCCACCUCAGCUUCCCAAGUAGCUGGGGCUAGAGGCACAACUCACCACACCUGGCUAAAAUUUUUUGUAGAGAUGAGGUUUCGCUAUGUUGCCCAGACUGAUCUGGAACUCCUGGACUCAAGCAAUCCUCCUACCUUGGCUUCCCAAAGUGCUAGGAUUACAGGCAUAAGCCACUGUACCCAGUCAGAUGUUCUCUACAAUAAAAAAUAUACAUCUAUGAGUUAGAAGCUGCCUAUUUUCUCUAAAUCUUGUAGGGUUUCUGGUACCACAGAUAUGUCUGGUGAGAGUUUUGAGUUUUGUUUCCCUUAUUCCUAGGUCUAAUAGUAAUAAGAAUUUCACCUUGAAGUGAUGAAAGGUGCAAUGAAUGUCCAUGGGUAAUAAUAACAUCCUGAGACGAAGAUGUGUUGAACAUGCCAAAGUUACAUUGAACUUGCCAGAGUCCGACCUCUGUGAGGUUGGGAAGAUGUCUAAAGCUCUGUGGGAACAAUGCCUGCCAAAAUUAGUUCAGUGCUUCACUGAGGCUACUCUCAGAAAAUGGCUCUGAAAUGAGAUGUGGCAUGUCAGACUUUGAAACCAUGCAAUUAAGGUUUAUUUAAAUGUGGUACCUGAAAAGAAUGUGCUAAAAGCACAUGAUCAAGUGCUUCUUUUUAUGUAUAAAUUACACAUAUCUAAUGAUAAGUAUAUACAGUAUUAUAAAACAAGCAAAACUGAAAGUAUCCUUACAAAAAAAAUGUACUAAAGGCUCUUGGAUGACUAGAUGAAUCAGUGACACAGUAAUGAAUCACUUCUUUAAAAAAAAUUAUUUCACAUCGUUUUUGAUGGGCCUGUAUUCAUACUUUUCACUUUCUCUUUAAUUUCAUCUAGGAAAAUCAGGAGGAUCACAAAUGAAAACCAUGAGGCAAACAUCUUGAGGGCAGAAGCCUGGAGAAAAACUAAUGAUGAAAGACAGCCAGAGCAGUGGAGUGAAAAAAGUAGAAAAUGACUGAGAUUUUGCAAACCGAAACUCAUCCACAGAUACUAGCUUGAAAAGGAUAUGUUUUCUCCAAGUAAAUUUCCCAAUUUGAGUUUUUAUUUUCCCACUCCAGACAGUAGUUCAGACAAAAUGGGAAUAAGAUAACGAAAAGCUUUUAUUUGUUUCUUUAACUUUUAGGAGGAACUAAUGUAUCAUCUAUGUGAUGACCUCCCAGUUAAGCCUUAGUCAUGAGCAUGUAGAUUGUCUUCAGCAGAUGUGUUCUCCCAACGCCAUCCCCUUUCAACACCCUCACUAGUUCACUGCCUCAUAAUCUCCAUUGUCUGACAGUUGGUGGAAGCAGAAAAAAACAUAAAAGAGCAAAAAAAAAACAGUUGGUUUCAGUAGAAAGUGCACCAGAUCUAGGAAACAGGGAUCCCUAUCCUAUGAUAUGCUGAAGCAGGCUUAUACGGGCUCAGAGUUAGAAUUGGUUUUGUUAGAUUUUUAGGAAUUUUGUGAGCCAGUUGUUAAAUACAGCCAUUAUUAAAAAUUAAAUUAUGCAAACUUAAAUUUAAAGAAAUCCUACUAAAAACCAAGGUACUGAAUAGUUAACAGUUAUUCCUUCCUAAUUAUUUUGCUGUGUUUUACUUUACCAAUGCUUUUGAGGUUAGGCCUAUCUUAUGUAUAUGACGGAAAUGCUAUAUAAAGUAUACUUGAAAUUGGUCGUGAUGGGAGUAUUUACACCAAAGAAUUUGGCAAACCCCACAAAUCAGCGGUUGCUUACUGUUUUGUUGAUUGUCUAGGCUUUUUAAAUAAUGGAGAAAUAUUUUAAAUAAUGCAUAUUAAACCUAAAAGUGUGUCAUGUCUAUAGACAUUACAUUGUCAAUAGCUAUGAAAGAAACUGAGGAAAUAAUUUUUAAGUAUUUAAAAACUAUUAUCCAAUUCAGCCAAGAAUCUUUUCAUGUAAUUGAUGAAGUAAAGUUCGAAUAUUUUCUUCAAAUUUUCACUUUCCUCUUUUUUCUUAAAGCAUACAAAAAUAUUCACCAGCAUUCAUGUCAGAUUUAUAAAACCAAGAGUUUUUCAAACUCAGCAAAAAGAUUCUGCCAAAAUUGAAUGGCUGUAUGGAAUUCACACUAAAGACUAUUACAUAUUUUACUAUUGCUAUCAUUUGUCAACAGAGAGCUACACAUCUUUUACAUAGAGAAGAUUAUCUUGUAUGCUAUUAUAAUGUAAUAUAUACAUUUGUUUUGUUUACAAUCCAGUUGUUAAAUGCUUACCAUCACCCCAAUAUUUCUACCAUCCAAAAACUCUUGAUUAUGGAAAAACUGUUUAUGAAUAUCAACUUCCUCACCUGCAAACAAAUGAAAUGAGUAUCUACCUCACAGGAUAGUUUUAAAAGUCAAAAGAAAUGUUUAUGUCAAAGUCCUGUAUGGAUUGCAAAUGUUAUGUAUUAUCAAAAAUUCAGCAAAUAUGUUUCAGCUCCUAAUAUGAGCUCUAAGAACUUGCAGAGUUUGUAAAGAUCACUAGUACUAUGGUCCCUACCCUCAAGUUGCUUACAAUCUAGUGGUGAGAAAUAUGUGUAAAUAACUUAAAAUUAUUUAAGAGUGUAUCAAAUGUUUUAUAACAGAGGAAAAAGCGAAGUGCUAUGAGAUUAUAGGAAUAUAAGGGAUUUUACCUGGAGCACCAAGGAAGACUUCAUUAAAAAAUGGAAUUUUAAGAUAAGCUUUGACAAAUAAGUUGCAUUUGUAUCAACUAAGAAAGUGGAAAGAAGGGGCAUGCUUGGCUGAUGGAUGAAAUCUCAAAAACAUUAUCAUCACAAUGCCUGUUAAGAAAAUCAUAAUUGCAUUGAUAAAUCUGCUACAUAAAAACCUUACUUGUUAUUUCCAUGUAAAAUAGAAAUUAGGCAUUAUAGAUUAUGCAAUCCAGCAUGCCUAUCUAUAAUCUUACAUUGAAUCAAGGGUUGACUCAAUGUUUAGUCAGUUUUUCCAACUUAUAAGCCAUGUCCAUUUCUGAAAACCAAAAUACAAAUCAAGCUCCUGCCUUCUUUUCUUAGUGAAAGAAAACAUUCAUAUUGUUUUAAAUUUUUAAAAUUUUUUUCAAGAAACUAUAAAAUAUGUUUGAUUCAAGUAUUUCACAAGACAGAAGGCACUAUCCAAUAGGCUUAAAAAGUCACUGAUUUCAAACCUACGAAUACAUAAAUUAUGCAUGCAUUAUGUGAACAAUGAAGGGCACAUCCAAAGUGAGGUUUUCAUGGGAGACUGGAACACUGAGGCAAGAGAAAAGUGAAAACAUUCUAAAGCCUUCAUGUAAACAAGGACUAACUACUAAAAAGCACGAUUUUAUCCCUCAGUUAAUAAGUCUUGCAAGGGAUGACAUUACUAAGUAAAGUUCAUUGCAAGCUUUUUCCUCUCACUUGUCAAAAUAUACUAGUUUAUAUUUGUGACUCGAAAAAAAAUACAAUGCUUGGAAGAAAGCUUGGCAGAGCACUCAGAAUCUGUCUGAAGUAUAACGCAAGGGAGAUGUCUAUUAAUCUCUCACACACAAAAGUCUGACUCAAAAGGUCUGUGGCCUUGACCUCAAGUGACCAUGGAAUAGACCACAGAGCCAGUCCAGGAUCCAAAGGGAUUAAGAGGAGCAUUUGCUCUGCUCUGAAAGGGCCUUUUUUCCCCACUCUAGUUUCUAACUUCCCAUUACACACACUCCCUCUGCAAGGCACCGCGCCAAUGGAGCCGGUUCACUCUGUUCUCUCCUUGAUGACAGCUGUCAGUCUGUCGCCGCCUGAACAUGCAACAUUUCAACAAAAUCCAAAGCGGAACUGGAAGGGCAGGGGCUGAAGCACACAGCCUGAUCUCCUUCCUGGAGGUCCCAGACUCCUUAACCAUCACUUUUCAACCUGCUUAAGGUUAGAACCACCUCACUCUUCACUAACAGAGUUGAGGCAGCUUCUGUCUCCUCAGAACCUGGGCAUUCCCACACAGUGUAAUUAAGCAACAUUCCUGGAAAUCAUCCUAAGAAGAAAGAGCCCGCAAGUCCCCGUGUAACUUCAGCACGAACGCGGAGGGUGCUAAACCAGGCUGCUCAACAUGAAGACGCAGAUGAAGACCUUUAUGAUGAUCCACUUCCACUUAAUGAAUAGCAAACAUAUUUUCUCCUCCUUAUGAUUUUCUUAAUAAAAUUUUCUUUUCUCUUACUUUAUUGUAAGAAUACAGUAUAUAAUUAACAAA